AUGGAGGACCGGGAAGAACUUAAUGAUGCGAUUCCUUCCGUGAUCUCAGUGACUGUAUCAGGCAAAAACGAGAAGGGCAAAAUACCGUCCAAAUGUAAACAAGGAGCAGCCACACCAGCAGCAGCAGAAUGCCGCGGUAGUUCGGCAGGCCCUGGCCCCAUGGACAAAGAGAAACUCGACAGUGGCAGUGGCCACGAACUCAGAAAGCCUGAGGACACUCAGCAGCUCCUCUGGCUCAUCACUUUCACAUUGGUGCAACUACAGGAGCUGAAGAACAUUUUCCAACUUGUUCCAUACCCGGACGUGUUAGGAUCAGAUUCAUCAUUGGACUCCUGGACCUAUCACUGUGGACCUCAAACGUGCACCUUUUAAGCCCUUUCCUUCACUCCUGACUGAUGGAUUUGGGAUCCACUGCUAAGUCAGACUUUUGAACCAUUGUUCCAGGCAAACUUCUGUUAAAGCUGGUAAGGACUGAUUUGAUUCUUAAGAUUCUGAGUAUACUCUCUAAAGCAGGUUAGAGUACCAGGCUUCUUUUGAAAGGUGUCUCCUAGGCUGGACGGUCUCCUUCCUGGAUCUCUGUCUUGAGUGGGGAUUAUUCUCUGGCUCCCUGGGCUGGAAGUUUUUCUUUCUGGCUUUCUAUUUUGAGUGGGAAUUAUUCAUUGAUUCUUUGGGCUGGAAAUUUUUUUUUUUUUUU
rnacentral:lncRNA from 1 species